rnacentral:rRNA from 1 species
GACGGAGGAUGCAAGCGUUAUCCGGAAUUAUUGGGCGUAAAGCGUCCGCAGGUGGCUACUCAAGUCUGUUGUCAAAGCGCGGGGCUUAACCCCGUAAAGGCAAUGGAAACUGGGUGGCUAGAGUAUGGUAGGGGUAGAGGGAAUUCCCGGUGUAGCGGUGAAAUGCGUAGAUAUCGGGAAGAACACCAGUGGCGAAAGCGCUCUGCUGGACCAUAACUGACACUGAGGGACGAAAGCUAGGGGAGCGAAAGGG